rnacentral:rRNA from 1 species
UGCGUAGGCGGACUAUUAAGUCAGUGGUGAAAUCUCCCGGCUCAACCGGGAAACUGCCAUUGAUACUGAUAGUCUUGAGUAUAGUUGUAGUGGGCGGAAUAUAGCAUGUAGCGGUGAAAUGCUUAGAUAUGCUAUAGAACACCGAUCGCGAAGGCAGCUCACUAAACUAUAACUGACGCUCAGGCACGAAAGCGUGGGGAGCAAACAGGAUUAGAUACCCUGGUAGUCC